rnacentral:rRNA from 1 species
GGUUGAUCCUGCCAGUAGCAUAUGCUUGUCUCAAAGAUUAAGCCAUGCAUGUCUAAGUAUAAACAACUUUAUACUGUGAAACUGCGUACAGCUCAUUAAAUCAGUUAUUAUUUAUUUGAUGGUACUUUACUACAUGGAUAACCGUAGUAAUUCUAGAGCUAAUACAUGCGAAAAGUCCCAACGCAAGGCGGGAUGUAUUUAUUAGAUACAAAACCAAUGGGCAGGAGGGGCAACUCUUCUGCUCUUUUUGGUGAGUCAUAGUAACUGUUCGAAUCGCACGCGCAAGCAGGCG